CUUCUCCGACGCCAGCGGAUUUUUGCACCAACAGAGUCAAUGACCAUUGAUCCAUUAAGUGGCUUUUAAUGAGAAAAAUAUGGUGUGUGUGCAAGGCCAGCCUCGGACUGGGGUGCAGUAUUGUGUUUAGCUUGCCACAAACGGGAGUAUGAUUCUGAUUAUUUUGAUGUCAAAAAUCAGAUUUUGAUUUUAAUAAUAUAGAUGGGGUAUGGGCGAUAUUUUGAUAGAUUGGCUA
rnacentral:lncRNA from 1 species